AAGUGACUAAGCGUACACGGUGGAUGCCUUGGCAGUCAGAGGCGAUGAAGGACGUAUUAACUUGCGAUAAGCCCAGAUUAGGCAGUAAAAGCCACUUGAGUCUGGGAUUUCCGAAUGGGGAAACCCAACUGCAUAAGCAGUUACUGUUAACUGAAUACAUAGGUUAACAGGGCGAACCGGGGGAACUGAAACAUCUAAGUACCCCGAGGAAAAGAAAUCAACCGAGAUUCCGAAAGUAGCGGCGAGCGAAAUUGGACUAGCCCUUAAGCUUUACACGCGUUAGACGAACGGUCUGGAAAGUCCGACGAUACAGGGUGAUAGUCCCGUAGUUGACGACGUGUGUUCAGUGAAAUCGAGUAGGGCGGGACACGUGAUAUCCUGUCUGA
rnacentral:rRNA from 1 species